AUACUCUGGUUUCUCUUCAGAUCGUAUAAAUCUUUCGCCUUUUACUAAAGAUUUCCGUGGAGAGGAACAUUUAUGAGUUUUCUGUUUCAAAUGUUACCGAUUUUGAAAAAUG